GUCCGAGCCGCCGUCGCCCGCCGCGGGCAGUAGCGCUGUGAGGGGCUGCCCCGUUCCCGGGCCCUGCCGUUACCUGGGAGAGCCGGGGCUAUUUUUAACCUGGAUGUGUUCUGUGAUAUGUUUCCCACACAGCACAGAAACUGGCACAGCUGAGGGGCAGGAAAGAGCACAGCUUUAAUUCCUGUUGGCUCAGUCACAUUUGCUCAACAUGACUGAAAACCCCUCUUCACCUCUAGAAAUGCAAAAGUGAAUGUGGAUCUACAUUGGAAUCUUCUGUCCUUGUAGUGGAGAGUAUUAGUUACCUUCCAUGACCACUCUGGCCACAAUGGCUUCCUUUGCUUGACAAGCUGAUUACUUUGUCAAGGCCGGGAGCCAGGAGGGCUGGCGCUCGGGACACCUCCUCCUGGUGCGCUGCCAAGGACGGUGGCGGUGUCCUGCGGCCAGGGCGGUGGCCCCGGGCACUCGGCAUCCGUCCUGCGGCUCGCCGACCCUCCCCUCGAGACCUACUUCUGCCGGGACAGGCAAGGCUUAAAAAUGCCUUGGACCUGCAAACUGAGCACAGUUGCUCCGUGGAAGGCAGGGAAUCACAGGUCUCCUGCUUCUGCCUUUCCCCUUCCUGCUAUUUCAUUCUGAUUGCUGGGACUGUAAAACCUCAGGAGCAGGCACUGUUUCCCAUUGUGAAGCUACUUUGUAAACCUUCCUAACUGAAGGGACACACACAGAUACUCUUUUUCAUUCUUUCUUUUUUUUUUUUUUUUCCCAAGAAUGAUGUAUUUGUCUGGUCUCCUUCCUCUACCAACUUCUUUUUGUGUGCACACUGUGUCCUGUGGCCCUCUUGGAGAAAAUUCUCUUUUUGAUGAAUUCCUGAGGCAAAGACUGAGCAGCCAUCACAGGAGUUAGUGAUUUCCCACCUUGGGUUUUAGACUGUGAGCUCUGUGGAAGACUGAGAUUCUCAUGGCUGUGGAGAGCAUGGAGAGCACUUAGGAUGUGUAGGGCCCUAGUGAGAAAUGCAAAUGCGAUUAGUGAUUGUGCAGGUCUUCCAACAAAAGCAGCAGAGCUAGCCCAGGACCCAGCUCCUCCAGGAGCCUCAUGGGACUGGUGAGAAAAGAAAUAAACCACCCUAAGUGUGCUGGCCCCGGAUGAGGAGUUUUUGGCUCGUGACCUGUGGCCAUACUGCCUGGCCUGUUUCCCAGAGGUCAGUGAAAGGUAAGUGAGAAAGGAGACUUGUUGUCAGCAAGCACAAAUCCAAGGGAUAGGCUGUCUGACUGGGAGAUAGAAGGCUCCAUGAGUAGGAGGAAAAGGUAAAAAUGCCUGUCCUCACACCCAGAAGCAUGGCAGCUCAUUGAAGUGAGGUUGUUUCAGACGGCAGCCACCCUUCACUUCACUAUUGCUUUUUUGUUGUAUCAAUCUGAGAUAAACUCCUGUGUCAGUCUCCCCUUGGCCCUCAUCUUCUGGGGGUGAAAUAAAGAACCAGCAG